rnacentral:rRNA from 1 species
AACGUAGGACGCAAGCGUUAUCCGGAGUUACUGGGCGUAAAGCGCGGGCAGGCGGCUGUCUAAGUCUGAUGUGAAAGCGCCCGGCUUAACCGGGCGAGGCCAUUGGAAACUGGAGAGCUGGAGGGCAGUAGAGGCAGGCGGAAUUCCGGGUGGAGUGGUGAAAUGCGUAGAGAUCCGGAGGAACACCAGAGGCGAAGGCGGCCUGCUGGGCUGCACCUGACGCUGAGCCGCGAAAGCCAGGGGAGCAAACGGG